AGUCGAGCGCCUCCAAGCUAUGGUGAAGGCGCGGCAAACGGCUCACGUAACACGUGGCCAACCUACCCUUGGGACGGAGACAACCCCGGGAAACUGGGGCUAAUCCCCGAUAGGUGAGGAAUCCUGGAAUGGACCCUCGCCCAAAAGACGUUGAGUCCAUGCUAUUCAGCGUCGCCCAAGGAUGGAGCCGCGACCGAUCAGGUAGUUGGUGAGGCAACGGCUCACCAAGCCUAUAACCGGUACGGGCCGUGAGAGCGGGAGCCCGGAGAUGGGCACUGAGACAAGGGCCCAGGCCCUACGGGGCGCAGCAGUUGCGAAAACUCCGCAAUGCGCGAAAGCGUGACGGGGCUACCCCGAGUGCCGCCCGUUGAGGGCGGCUUUUCCACGGUGUAAGGAGCCGUGGGAAUAAGGAGAGGGCAAGACUGGUGUCAGCCGCCGCGGUAAUACCAGCUCUCCGAGUGGUGGGGACGAUUAUUGGGCUUAAAGCGUUCGUAGCCGGCUUAACAAGUCUUCCGUUAAAUCCAACGAUCUAAUCGUUGGGCUGCGGGAGAUACUGUUGGGCUAGGAGGCGGGAGAAGCCGACGGUAUUCUCGGGGUAGGGGUGAAAUCCUGUAAUCCCGGGAGGACCACCAGUGGCGAAGGCGGUCGGCUAGAACGCGCUCGACGGUGAGGGACGAAAGCUGGGGGAGCGAACCGGAUUAGAAACCCGGGUAGUCCCAGCUGUAAACGAUG
rnacentral:rRNA from 1 species